rfam:Pantoea gaviniae strain LMG 25382 Contig0092_, whole genome shotgun sequence.
CCUACCGCCAGGAAACCAUAAAUAGCGAAUUAAGAAAUUUUGCCGGAUAGCACAUACACGCAGCAAUGGCGUAAGACGUAUUGUGAAAUCAGGCAUUUAGCGGGCUGCGGGUUGCAGCCUGGACGAUAAGACGGGAUUGACUCUCUCUGGUAAAUUCAGUGGCGGUUCCCUCAUCCGAGCGCUGUUUUUCCUUAUAAAAACAGGCUGCCGAGAUUUUUGCGCCCCUUGAGCGACCGACAACCGUGAGGUUGACGCUGACGCGAUAAGACACGGGGCCGUCGGUUAUUCUUCGUCCAGUGUUACUUAGCCCGCAGCUUAGUCACUCA